AGCGAACGCUGGCGGCAGGCCUAACACAUGCAAGUCGAACGAACUCUUCGGAGUUAGUGGCAGACGGGUGAGUAACACGUGGGAACGUGCCUUUAGGUUCGGAAUAACUCAGCGAAACUUGUGCUAAUACCGAAUGUGCCCUUCGGGGGAAAGAUUUAUCGCCUUUAGAGCGGCCCGCGUCUGAUUAGCUAGUUGGUGAGGUAAAGGCUCACCAAGGCGACGAUCAGUAGCUGGUCUGAGAGGAUGAUCAGCCACAUUGGGACUGAGACACGGCCCAAACUCCUACGGGAGGCAGCAGUGGGGAAUCUUGCGCAAUGGGCGAAAGCCUGACGCAGCCAUGCCGCGUGAAUGAUGAAGGUCUUAGGAUUGUAAAAUUCUUUCACCGGGGACGAUAAUGACGGUACCCGGAGAAGAAGCCCCGGCUAACUUCGUG
rnacentral:rRNA from 1 species